rnacentral:tRNA from 1 species
GGAUGGAUAGCCGAAUGGACAGGCGCGUGACUCUCAAUCAUGAAUAUGUUGGGUUCGAUUCCCAACUCCAUCCG